GUGAAUGUCCUGCUGAUCUCCAGACUGACUGCUGGGCUACUUCUGUUCUUCCUUGCUUUGGGCGUGUAUUUUACAUUAAAGCGCCGAAUCCAGGCCAAGAAACCAGAAGUUUCCCUGGAAAUGUCCGAUCCCAUUUCCAGCACUCUGCCCCUGCCCGGAAAGAGUCCUUUACACAGCCCGUCGGCAGUGAAAUGAUCUAUUCAAAACUGCAGUGGAGCAAGUACAGUGUGGUGUCCUCUCCAGAGGGGAGCGCUCACACUGGCGAGCCAGUGACGAAGGAGCCCAGAGCGGGGACCAGUGACCCAUCAACGGACACAGUGUAUGCCAUGCUUCAGGCACCGUGAAUGUAUCCCCUCCAUCUCGUGUAACACAAAUGUCUCCAGCAAACACCCCUUUUCUUCAGUGGUGUGGCUCUGGCAUGUAAUAAAUGUACUGAUGAAA